rnacentral:tRNA from 1 species
UAGCUCAGUGGCAUAAGUACCUGCCUUGUAAGCAGGCAGUCUUGAGUUCAAAUCCCAG